CGAAUGAGUCUUCGUCCUCCAAUUUGAAUCUCUUCUCAAAAACUUCUGCGAUCAACUCUUCAAGACUCCAAACAACUUUACGAAAUUCGCCAACCUACAAAAUCCUUAACAACAUGCAUUCACAAUAAUACAUUUACUUUACAUCCAACUCCCAAAUGCAAUUAAGUUAUUACAUCAUUUGCUUAUUACAAAUUGAUACAUUGUAUUCUUUUUAUUUUCCAAACCCCUAGGCUAUGUCGACGAGGUAUUG
rnacentral:lncRNA from 1 species